UCAGGAUGAACGCUAGCUACAGGCUUAACACAUGCAAGUCGAGGGGCAGCAUGAUCGAAGCUUGCUUGAUGAUGGCGACCGGCGCACGGGUGAGUAACGCGUAUCCAACCUUCCCUAUGGUAGAGGAUAGCCCGGCGAAAGUCGGAUUAAUACUCUAUGUUUUCCAAUGCAGACAUCUAAGUUGGAACAAAGGUUUACCGCUAUAGGAUGGGGAUGCGUCUGAUUAGGUUGUUGGCGGGUAACGGCCACCAAGCCUACGAUCAGUAGGGGUUCGGAGAGGAAGGUCCCCACAUUGGUACUGAGACACGGACCAAACUCCUACGGGAGGCAGCAGUGAGGAAUAUUGGUCAAUGGGCGAGAGCCUGAACCAGCCAAGUAGCGUGCAGGGAAUGACUGCCCUAUGGGUUGUAAACUGCUUUUAUGCGGGAAUAAAGUCAGGUACGUGUACCUGUUUGUAUGUACCGCAUGAAUAAGGACCGGCUAAUUCCGUGCCAGCCGCAGC
rnacentral:rRNA from 1 species